ACUGUCAAAACGAAAUUGUUUCCUGGAUUUCAUAGGAGGAGGAGUCAUAGACAUUAGAAUAGAACGGUGGUCUGAGCCUUGAUCAUCAAGAUAAGUUACAGCAGCUGAAGGAUAUUUGAGUGACCAAGUAGGAGAAACCAGAAAUCUGCCAAACCUUUCCUGUAUAUUAGCUAACCCAUCUCGCCUGUUAUUCCAUAUAGUAGGAAACCCAGAAAAACCAAUAUCAAUCAAUCCCCAGGAGUCAAUGAAUUGAGUGAAGGCUCUGAUUCUUUGUUGGGAAUGAUUAUUGCCUCCAAUUUUUUCAAGAGGAGAAGUAAUGCAGUUAAAAUCCCCUGGAUUGCUAUCCCAGAUGAUA
rnacentral:misc_RNA from 1 species